rnacentral:rRNA from 1 species
UGUUUCGGCAAGGGGGUCAUCCCGACUUACCAACCCGAUGCAAACUGCGAAUACCGGAGAAUGUUAUCACGGGAGACACACGGCGGGUGCUAACGUCCGUCGUGAAGAGGGAAACAACCCAGACCGCCAGCUAAGGUCCCAAAGUCAUGGUUAAGUGGGAAACGAUGUGGGAAGGCCCAGACAGCCAGGAUGUUGGCUUAGAAGCAGCCAUCAUUUAAAGAAAGCGUAAUAGCUCACUGGUCGAGUCGGCCUGCGCGGAAGAUGUAACGGGGCUAAACCAUGCACCGAAGCUGCGGCAGCGACGCUUAUGCGUUGUUGGGUAGGGGAGCGUUCUGUAAGCCUGUGAAGGUGUGCUGUGAGGCAUGCUGGAGGUAUCAGAAGUGCGAAUGCUGACAUAAGUAACGAUAAAGCGGGUGAAAAGCCCGCUCGCCGGAAGACCAAGGGUUCCUGUCCAACGUUAAUCGGGGCAGGGUGAGUCGACCCCUAAGGCGAGGCCGAAAGGCGUAGUCGAUGGGAAACAGGUUAAUAUUCCUGUACUUGGUGUUACUGCGAAGGGGGGACGGAGAAGGCUAUGUUGGCCGGGCGACGGUUGUCCCGGUUUAAGCGUGUAGGCUGGUUUUCCAGGCAAAUCCGGAAAAUCAAGGCUGAGGCGUGAUGACGAGGCACUACGGUGCUGAAGCAACAAAUGCCCUGCUUCCAGGAAAAGCCUCUAAGCAUCAGGUAACAUCAAAUCGUACCCCAAACCGACACAGGUGGUCAGGUAGAGAAUACCAAGGCGCUUGAGAGAACUCGGGUGAAGGAACUAGGCAAAAUGGUGCCGUAACUUCGGGAGAAGGCACGCUGAUAUGUAGGUGAAGCGACUUGCUCGUGGAGCUGAAAUCAGUCGAAGAUACCAGCUGGCUGCAACUGUUUAUUAAAAACACAGCACUGUGCAAACACGAAAGUGGACGUAUACGGUGUGACGCCUGCCCGGUGCCGGAAGGUUAAUUGAUGGGGUCAGCGCAAGCGAAGCUCUUGAUCGAAGCCCCGGUAAACGGCGGCCGUAACUAUAACGGUCCUAAGGUAGCGAAAUUCCUUGUCGGGUAAGUUCCGACCUGCACGAAUGGCGUAAUGAUGGCCAGGCUGUCUCCACCCGAGACUCAGUGAAAUUGAACUCGCUGUGAAGAUGCAGUGUACCCGCGGCAAGACGGAAAGACCCCGUGAACCUUUACUAUAGCUUGACACUGAACAUUGAGCCUUGAUGUGUAGGAUAGGUGGGAGGCUU